rnacentral:rRNA from 1 species
AGUGAACGCUGGCCGUAGGCCUAACACAUGCAAGUCGAACGGCAGCACAGUAAGAGCUUGCUCUUACGGGUGGCGAGUGGCGGACGGGUGAGGAAUACAUCGGAAUCUACUUUUUCGUGGGGGAUAACGUAGGGAAACUUACGCUAAUACCGCAUACGACCUACGGGUGAAAGCAGGGGAUCUUCGGACCUUGCGCGAUUGAAUGAGCCGAUGUCGGAUUAGCUAGUUGGCGGGGUAAAGGCCCACCAAGGCGACGAUCCGUAGCUGGUCUGAGAGGAUGAUCAGCCACACUGGAACUGAGACACGGUCCAGACUCCUACGGGAGGCAGCAGUGGGGAAUAUUGGACAAUGGGCGCAAGCCUGAUCCAGCCAUACCGCGUGGGUGAAGAAGGCCUUCGGGUUGUAAAGCCCUUUUGUUGGGAAAGAAAAGCAGCAGGUUAAUACCCCGCUGUUCUGACGGUACCCAAAGAAUAAGCACCGGCUAACUUCGUG